GAUGAACGCUGGCGGCGUGCCUAAUACAUGCAAGUCGAGCGAACAGACGAGGAGCUUGCUCCUCUGACGUUAGCGGCGGACGGGUGAGUAACACGUGGAUAACCUACCUAUAAGACUGGGAUAACUUCGGGAAACCGGAGCUAAUACCGGAUAAUAUAUUGAACCGCAUGGUUCAAUAGUGAAAGACGGUUUUGCUGUCACUUAUAGAUGGAUCCGCGCCGCAUUAGCUAGUUGGUAAGGUAACGGCUUACCAAGGCAACGAUGCGUAGCCGACCUGAGAGGGUGAUCGGCCACACUGGAAGUGAGACACGGUCCAGACUCCUACGGGAGGCAGCAGUAGGGAAUCUUCCGCAGAGGGCGAGAGCCUGACGGAGCAACGCCGCGUGAGUGAUGAAGGUCUUCGGAUCGUAAAACUCUGUUAUUAGGGAAGAACAAAUGUGUAAGUAACUAUGCACGUCUUGACGGUACCUAAUCAGAAAGCCACGGCUAACUACGUG
rnacentral:rRNA from 1 species